GGAGAGAUGGCUGAGUGGUCGAAAGCAACGGUUUGCUAAAUCGUCGAGGGUGAAAGUCCUCCGGGGGUUCGAAUCCCCCUCUCUCCGCCA
rnacentral:tRNA from 1 species